AGUGGACGCUGGCGGCGUGCCUAAUACAUGCAAGUCGAACGGAGAUUCAGUAGCUUGCUAUUUAAUCUUAGUGGCGCACGGGUGAGUAAUAUAUAGCUAACUUGCCCAUUACUAAGGGACAACAGUUGGAAACGACUGCUAAUACCUUAUACUCCGUAUCUAUAUAAGUAGAUACGGGAAAGUUUUUCGGUAAUGGAUAGGGCUAUAUCGUAUCAGCUAGUUGGUAAGGUAAUGGCUUACCAAGGCUAUGACGCGUAACUGGUCUGAGAGGAUGAUCAGUCACACUGGAACUGAGACACGGUCCAGACUCCUACGGGAGGCAGCAGUAGGGAAUAUUGCUCAAUGGGGGAAACCCUGAAGCAGCAACGCCGCGUGGAGGAUGACACUUUUCGGAGCGUAAACUCCUUUUCUUGGGAAAGAAUUAUGACGGUACCCAAGGAAUAAGCACCGGCUAACUCCGUG
rnacentral:rRNA from 1 species